UUUAAAAUUAAAAUACAUUUGCUGUAAUUGAUAAUGAAAUUGUAAUACCCUAUAAUGUAAGCAUAUAAAGUAUUACAACUACAUGGUAAUUUAUGGAAAAUUUACAUUAGUUAGAGUUUUCAUAGUGAAAAUGCUACAUAUUUUUAAAUUAUUUACAUUUUAUUGUCUUUAACUGAUAGAUGCAAUGCUAGGGUUCUUAAAAAAAAUCAUAUUUGUUUUAAAAAAAAUAUUUUUAAUUAUGAAAAAUGUAGGACCUACAAUGCCUAUUUAUAUUCUCUAUUCCUAAUUCCACCUGUAGAUGGCGCCAUAGCUUUUGGACAUUCUUGGGUUUCUCUGCAGCUAAAUAAUGGACUACAACAAUUAAUUUAUUUAUUUUUGUGUGUAAAUUGAUGCAAACCUAGGAUGACAAUGUUAUACAUGUAUACACGGAAAAACAUAAAAUAAAAAAUAUUUGGAAGAUUUAUGACGUUGAUGACCGUUGAAACGCACGUCAUCACGUCAGGCCAGCUGUGAGGGGAAGUCGAAGCAGCUCAAGAAAGUUGGCGCUUUUAUCAGAUCGUUUGUUUGGAGUCUCUGUUUGUUCCAGCCAUUGUGUUCCUUCAUGCUCCUCCAGAGACUACUAUCCGGAUUGUCCGUGCCAGUGUUGUGACUCUUGCAUCUUUCACCAUGUGACGUUGUCCGGGGCCCAGGGAGUUCUUACAAACAGAUUGAUGGCAACAAUGAACAUGGAUGGUUCAGGGGUGAAGAAGGCCUUUAAAAAACACGGCUAUGUUGUGUUAUAAUAGGUGGCAAUUGCAUCAGAGGGAGAAGACUUCACAGUGCCUCCCUAUACAUGGAUGUCAGCUGACGUCAAUCACUUGUCUUCCGCCAUUUUGAGAACCUGAAGUGGUCGCAAAAGAAC